GCAAGUCGAACGGAAACGAUGGGAGCUUGCUUCCAGGCGUCGAGCGGCGGACGGGUGAGUAAUGCUUGGGGAUCUGCCCUGUUGUGGGGGAUAACAGUUGGAAACGACUGCUAAUACCGCAUAAUAUUUACGGAUCAAAGGUGGCCUCUCCUUGGAAGCUAUCGCAAUAGGAUGAACCCAAGUGGGAUUAGCUAGUUGGUGAGGUAAUGGCUCACCAAGGCGACGAUCCCUAGCUGGUCUGAGAGGAUGAUC
rnacentral:rRNA from 1 species